UGGCCCGGAGAGAGAUGACUCAAGUAGCGAAGUAAACUCAACAAAUGGACAUUAUACAUGUCGUAUCACAUUUAACAAAACAAACAUUCAAAUACCGGUAUAGAUGGUAAAGUAAAAACCCAAAUCGGUCCCUGCGUCAAUGGAAUAAGAAUAAGCGUCAUCCAACAUGCUGUAAUAGAAAUAAGGCCAUGCUCAUGAAAUGAAACAGGAGUUUCUAUUCGCCAAAUUCAGGUCUGCAGGGUCAUCAGAGAUCAGGUCCAAGUCAGCGGGGUCAUCUACUUCUGGGUUUAACCCUGUGGAAGCCGGGCCUCUUUGGAGCGGAGAGGUCAGGGAGAGGUUAAAGGAAGUUAACUCGCCUCUGGCUCGAAAUCUGCUACCACCCAGAGGAUGCCCACAGCCACAAUGGCUGUGAGUCCCAGGGUAAGCAGAGUGCCCCUACUGAGUUGUAGGAGGUCCCAGGGUAAGCAGAGUGCCCCUACUGGGUUGUAGGAGGUCCCAGGGUACGCAGAGUGCCUCUACGGGGUUGUAGGAGGUCCCAGGGUAAGCAGAGUGCCCCUACUGGGUUGUAGGAGGUCCCAGGGUAAGCAGAGUGCCUCUACGGGGUUGUAGGAGGUCCCAGGGUACGCAGAGUGCCUCUACGGGGUUGUAGGAGGUCCCAGGGUAAGCAGAGUGCCCCUACUGGGUUGUAGGAGGUCCCAGGGUAAGCAGAGUGCCCCUACUGGGUUGUAGGAGGUCCCAGGGUAAGCAGAGUGCCCCUACUGGGUUGUAGGAGGUCCCAGGGUAAGCAGAGUGCCUCUACGGGGUUGUAGGAGGUCCCAGGGUACGCAGAGUGCCCCUACUGGGUUGUAGGAGGUCCCAGGGUAAGCAGAGUGCCCCUACUGGGUUGUAGGAGGUCCCAGGGUAAGCAGAGUGCCCCUACUGGGUUGUAGGAGGUCCCAGGGUAAGCAGAGUGCCCCUACUGGGUUGUAGGAGGUCCCAGGGUACGCAGAGUGCCCCUACUGGGUUGUAGGAGGUCCCAGGGUAAGCAGAGGGCCUCUACUGGGUUGUAGGAAGUCCCAGGGUACGCAGAGUGCCCCUACUGGGUUGUAGGAGGUCCCAGGGUACGCAGAGUGCCCCUACUGGGUUGUAGGAGGUCCCAGGGUAAGCAGAGUGCCCCUACUGGGUUGUAGGAGGUCCCAGGGUAAGCAGAGUGCCCCUACGGGGUUGUAGGAGGUCCCAGGGUACGCAGAGUGCCUCUAUGGGGUUGUAGGAGGUCCCAGGGUAAGCAGAGUGCCCCUACUGGGUUGUAGGAGGUCCCAGGGUAAGCAGAGUGCCCCUACUGGGUUGUAGGAGUAACAUCUUCUUCCGGCUCUGCUACAAGCUUACAGUGGGAGGCGUGGAUCCAGGUGUUUCCCUAAGCUUUUUACUGCCGUUGGAGUGGUGAGGGUGAUCUGAUGUGCUCUUUUCCACCUGGCUUUCAAAGGUUCUUUACCUCUGUUGUUUCUCCUGACCAUUAUCCAAUCUCCAGGUUGGAGAUUGUGAUGGGGACGGUCAUCUGGGCGAGUUUGGGCAGCAGAGACCCGUGAGGGAACAGCACGAAUACAGUUAGUCAGUACUUCAUCAUAGUGUCAUCCAACAGAUGCAGAUCUGGGACUGCAGCUGGUGGUGACACAGGGGUUGUCAUGGGACGGGCCAUCAGAAACUUUUCCUGACUGGGGUGGAACGCAUUGAAAACUGAGUAGCGCAUCCACACAGAUAAGUCCUGUUUGGGCACAUAUUUUUGCCAGUUUAUUUUUCAGAACGCCAUUAUAGCGUUCCACAAGUCCAGAACUUUCCGGGUGAAACAGUACAUAAAAAUAUCUUAACUUG